AAUAUUGCACAAUGGGCGCAAGCCUGAUGCAGCAACGCCGCGUGCGCGACGAAGGCCUUCGGGACGUAAAGCGCUUUUCGGGGAGAUAAGCACGGACCGUAUCCCCGGAAGACGGAUCGGCUAACUACGUGCCAGCAGCCGCGGCAAUACGUAGGUGGCGAGCGUUGUCCGGAAUUACUGGGCGUAAAGGAUGCGUAGGUGGAUACUUAAGUGGGAUGUGAAAUCCCCGGGCUCAACCCGGGAACUGCAUUCCAAACUGGGUAUCUGGAGUGCAGGAGAGGAAAGCGGAAUUCCUAGUGUAGCGGUGAAAUGCGUAGAUAUUAGGAGGAACACCAGUGGCGAAGGCGGCUUACUGGACUGUAACUGACGCUGAGUCACGAAAGCGUGGGUAGCAAACAGG
rnacentral:rRNA from 1 species